CCUACGGGAGGCAGCAGUGAGGAAUAUUGGUCAAUGGGCGAGAGCCUGAACCAGCCAAGUCGCGUGAAGGAUGAAGGCCCUAUGGUUUGUAAACUUCUUUUAUAUGGGAAUAAAGUGAGGCACGUGUUCCUUUUUGUAUGUACCAUAUGAAUAAGCAUCGGCUAACUCCGUGCCAGCAGCCGCGGUAAUACGGAGGAUGCGAGCGUUAUCCGGAUUUAUUGGGUUUAAAGGGUGCGUAGGUGGUUUGUUAAGUCAGCGGUGAAAGUUUGUGGCUCAACCAUAAAAUUGCCGUUGAAACUGGUAGACUUGAGUAUAUUUGAGGUAGGCGGAAUGCGUGGUGUAGCGGUGAAAUGCAUAGAUAUCACGCAGAACUCCGAUUGCGAAGGCAGCUUACUAAACUAUAACUGACACUGAGGCACGAAAGCGUGGGGAUCAAACAGGAUUAGAUACCCUUGUAGUC
rnacentral:rRNA from 1 species